rnacentral:rRNA from 1 species
GACGAACGCUGGCGGCGUGCUUAACACAUGCAAGUCGAACGGAAAGGCCCUUCGGGGUACUCGAGUGGCGAACGGGUGAGUAACACGUUGGUGAUCUGCCCUGCACUUUGGGAUAAGCCUGGGAAACUGGGUCUAAUACCGAAUAGGACCACGCGCUUCAUGGUGUGUGGUGGAAAGCUUUUGCGGUGUGGGAUGGGCCCGCGGCCUAUCAGCUUGUUGGUGGGGUAAUGGCCUACCAAGGCGACGACGGGUAGCCGGCCUGAGAGGGUGACCGGCCACACUGGGACUGAGAUACGGCGCAGACUCCUACGGGAGGCAGCAGUGGGGAAUAUUGCACAAUGGGCGCAAGCCUGAUGCAGAGACGCCGCGUGAGGGAUGACGGCCUUCGGGUUGUAAACCUCUUUCAAUAGGGACGAAGCGAAAGUGACGGUACCUAUAGAAGAAGCACCGGCCAACUACGUG